GGCGGUGCUUAUAACUUAAGUGUCCAGUCUGUGUAUAACUCCACACUCACCCUCGGUCCAGCACAGAACUUCACUGGAAGAACACAACACAGCAUUAACAAUGAAUAAAUUAUGGAUUUUGUGUUUCAUGGUGCUGAUCAUGAGCAAACCAUUUUCAACUAAGGAGAGUGAUCAGAGGUCAAGUGGGAACACUGUCCCAUCAACCAGCACAUCCACUAACUCCAGUGCUGUAGGAUUGGGUCCUGUGCCCAAAACACUGUACCUUCUGUUCCCUGCUGCCACCCUGGGCUUCAUCCACAGCAGAUCCUGAACAUUCACCGAAGAUGAGCAACAACGAGGGAGUGGUAAAAUGGACAGUCAUUGACACACAGAGCACAAAUCUGCAAGACAGAACACAGCACAGCUCAAAGGAUUUUUAACUAAUGAAAAUAAGUAUUCCUCCAAGAAGGAUUAUCUGGUUAUGCUCAAUAGCAACUUCUCUUGGAAGAGCCCCUCUCUCCUUUAUGCUUUAUAUGAAUGAAGUUUAGCAGGGUAAAGAACUCCCCUACUUAAAUCAGUAUAAUCACUGCAUUUGAAAGAUUCUGUUUCUCGAAUGGCAUUAUGUGUAUUAAUGUAAUUGAUUGGCCAGUGUGUCUGUAUGCAUAAUAAAACUGCUAAAUGCC